AGGACUUGGUAGGAAGAUGAGUUUCCCUUCAGUCUCAGCUUCACUCAGUGACAGCAUCCCCAAAAACCAAAGCAAAUGUAGGGUGCAGAGGAAGGAAGUGCACCUGUCUGAAGCAUUUCAGGAUGUGCCUGGAAGGAGUGGUGUGUUAGGGCUUGUGCAGAGGAUGAGAGGAGCCCUUGUGACUGGCUGACCACCUGUUCGACACAUCUCAUCCUCUAACUGGGCCCCCUCUGGGUGCCAGGCUGUGGCUUUCUUUCAACGCUUCCUUCAUCUGACAGCGGUGCUCUGCCUGUAAGGCUGAGGAGCCAGCAGAGACCUGCAGAGAUGGGAACUGAAGAGAAGGAAAAUUAGCAACGCAACUGACAGAGCACACAAAGAGGGUAUUUUAAGGAGGAUGCAGGAAUGUUUCAUACCAUGUCACAGGAAGGUCCUGCCUGCAGACUGCUGAUGAAACCAGACUUCAAAUGCAGCUUUUACUGUACUCAUUUUUGCUCUUAUUUCUCCAUCUGUUCAAUAAUGAACAGCAUCCUCUUCCCACCCACUUCUCAGUCACUGCUGCUGAAUUAAAGAUAUCUCAUUGCUGUGCAUAUGCCAUCUGCCCUACCUGCUUCUCUCAAGCAAUUACUAAAUAGGAAUCGCUUCACUCAGCAGCUAUUUGUAGGAUACUGAAUAAGCCAAGGAGCCGUGCCAGUUCCUGCUGAGAAUCAGCCAUCAGCUCUUGUGCUGGGGGAAAAUGCUGUAGGAGCUGAGCCCUUCCAAGAGAAAGCUGGCUAGCUGAAGACCUGCCAGCUGCAGCCAAAGCCAACAAGGCGAGCAGCCCCUGUGGGUGGCCGUGAGCCUGUGGGGUCGACGGUGAGCUCCACUGGUGGCACAGCACACUGGGUGCGAAUACGGGGUUCAGCAGGAGCCAGGGGUCUGUCCUGGUUAACACCUCACUGAAAAGCACGUUUCCAUCUAGUUUACCUCGACCGUUUUGCAAAUAAGCCAGCAAUGUUGCACCUGCUAAACAGCUAGAAUUAUGCAUCAUCAUAAAUUAAACUUUUUAAUUUGCCAACAUUUCUGGCUUAUGUCAUUUAUCAUUCAAAGCCAUCCUUCAGAGUGGCAGAAGUGUUUCCUGCUCUGCUGUGUAUGAGAGGGGAAUCUUUUCCCUUUGCCCUGCUGCACAGGACAAGGGUGCGGGUGCCAGCGUGCCGAGUGCCGGCACCAACAGCCUCUCAUCAGACUCAUCAGUGAGGUCAGUAAGCCCAGCACAUGAUGCUGUGCUUUGCACCACAAACCCACUGCAGCCGCUUCAGGCUGAACAAAUGGUGAUGUCCUCUCUUUGGGUCACCGCAACACCAAGUGAAGCCCACUGCAGCCUUCAGGCAGGGGGGACACACUGAGGAGCGAGCUGCCUCGCUGCUGUCAGAGGCUCAGAGAAAUCCUUACAAACAGGAGCACAAUGCUCACAUCAGUGAUGCUGUUCCAGCUGAGCGUGCUGGCAUCAGCUACAAACACUCUGCAAUACAGUGAGGUAAAGUGUCCUUAUGAAGCUGGGUGGUUUUGACCUCCCUCUUGCCUCGAAUCAAGGCUCAAAGCUACUUAACCUGG